AUUGAACGCUGGCGGCAGGCCUAACACAUGCAAGUCGAGCGGAUGAAGGGAGCUUGCUCCUGGAUUCAGCGGCGGACGGGUGAGUAAUGCCUAGGAAUCUGCCUGGUAGUGGGGGAUAACGUCCGGAAACGGGCGCUAAUACCGCAUACGUCCUGAGGGAGAAAGUGGGGGAGCUUCGGACCUCACGCUAUCAGAUGAGCCUAGGUCGGAUUAGCUAGUUGGUGGGGUAAAGGCCUACCAAGGCGACGAUCCGUAACUGGUCUGAGAGGAUGAUCAGGCACACUGGAACUGAGACACGGUCCAGACUCCUACGGGAGGCAGCAGUGGGGAAUAUUGGACAAUGGGCGAAAGCCUGAUCCAGCCAUGCCGCGUGUGUGAAGAAGGUCUUCGGAUUGUAAAGCACUUUAAGUUGGGAGGAAGGGCAGUAAGUUAAUACCUUGCUGUUUUGACGUUACCAACAGAAUAAGCACCGGCUAACUUCGUG
rnacentral:rRNA from 1 species